AUGUCCUCACAAAGUCAAGUAAUCUUCACUAUUUUGAUUGUAUUUGGUUACUUCUGAUGAGCCUAUGGGCCUCUUUCACAAGGAUGCAGCAAAGGAGGAUGCUUAGCUGGACACAUAGAAGACUAGAGCAAUGAAUGUCCACAGACGCACUAAGCCUGGUGUUUGAUGAUGUCCGUGUUCUCCUCUGAACUCAAGGAGAAGAAAAUUUUGCCGAGGAUGUGACAACCUUAGAGAGGCAGGCCUUGAAUACAUGCUAAAGCCUUCUUUUGCUCAACUUGUGCCAGAUGAUGGCCUUAGUUGAACAUCUUCUUAGGAAUCAGAAAAUGGCCUGGAAAUAAGAUGCUAUCCCAAAAGCCAUGGACUGUAAUGAGUUGGAGGACCACGGAUCCACUGGAUUUGAAAUAUUCGCUCAAACGCUGUUACUGCUUGACUUGUGUGGAAAAUUCCGCUCAGAAUGGCUGCAUUGCAUGCACCAUCAUAAAGGAGUGCCUGACAUUGAUUGGCUGUCAUGACCAAUGGUUUACGAGACACCGAGGGUCAUCAUUCAAGGAGGUGUUCUUGCUCUGGAAGACAAGCUUGACCUUCAGCAAUGCAUGCAGUUUUUCUCUCAAGGCAUUGUUGAAACAGGACAAAAAGGCGCUAUGAGAAAUUCUUGUGGAAAAUUCUGCUCAGAAUGGCUUCAUGGCAUGCACCUUCAUAAAGGAGUGCUUCACUUCGAUUGGCUGUCAUGAUCAAUGGUUUACAAGUCACUGAGAGACAUCAUUCAAGGAGGUGUUUCUGGUCUGAAGGGAAGCUGGACCUUCAGCAAUGCAUGCAGUUUUUCUCUCAAGCAUUUGUUGAAACAGGACAAAAAGGCAUCUUGAGAUAAUCUUGGCAUGCUGUUCUAGAAUCCCCAUGAUUCUUUUUCAAACAGAGGGCGAAUACACUUUUGUCCUGCUCUAAGGAAAGCGAUAUUCAUUCUUGUUUAAUAAUAAUCAAUAUAUUUGUGACUCACGAUGUGAAUGACCAUGUCCUCUGCUGGGCUUUUUCUGGAAACUUAGUG